rnacentral:piRNA from 1 species
UCCACUCUUUUCCUGCCUUUU